GAAGUCAGGGGCCAGUACUACUGAGUGU
rnacentral:piRNA from 1 species